UACGGGGGGGGCAAGCGUUGUUCGGAAUUACUGGGCGUAAAGGGCGCGUAGGCGGUUCGCUAAGUUGAAUGUGAAAACUCUGGGCUUAACCCAGAGCCUGCAUUCAAUACUGGCGGGCUAGAGUUCUGGAGGGGAUAGCGGAAUUCCUGGUGUAGCGGUGAAAUGCGUAGAUAUCAGGAGGAACACCGGUGGCGAAGGCGGUUCUCUGGGCCUGUACUGACGCUGAGGAGCGAAAGCGUGGGGAGCAAACAGG
rnacentral:rRNA from 1 species